CGCCUCAGAAAGCCUGUUGCUCUGCUCUACCCUUCCGGGCUUCAGUUUCUGUCUCUUGCCACCCUUGUUUCAGCCAACAGCCACCUUCUCUACUGGUCUGUUCAUGUGUGACGAUCGCUGGCAGCCUGAGGACAGGGCGCCCGUGGGUCCAGCCAAUUGCCAGUCACCUGUGAGGGAGAUGGGCUCCUGCAUGGCCGCAUGAGGAGAAACCACCUUCUCACAGGUGUCCUGAGGCCUGGAGUCUGGUGCUGCACCUGCUCCAGCACCUGCAGCCCAUGAAGUCUCAAUGGCACCUGGUCACGCAUCCAUGCUGUCUGUGACUGCUUUCAGGGGCCAUGGCGGAGUCAGCACAGCCCCUCUGGAGAAAGGGAGAAGAAUCUGCCCUCAACUCCCAUCUUGCUUUGGCUCACUCACGAGGCAUCCAUUCCCUGGAUGUGCUGGUCAUGCAUGGGUAGAUGCAGCGUCUCACCCCCAAACGGCCAGAGAAGCCCCAAAGCUAACUUUACCACGAAGGGAAGCCCUGUGGAGGCCCGCGAAGGUCAGCUAGAGGUUUGAAGCCAUAAGAGGCCAGCAGGUGGGAGGCGGGAGCUUCCGGAGGAGGUUGUCAGCAUUGUCCCACAGGGUGGGGCCAAGUGUCCAGGGGGAGAAGGAGAGGAGAGCCCUAAAUAUGUUGGGGUGCAGAUAUCGGGCGUGG
ensembl:lncRNA